AUCGAUAGUGUAAACGCAGCAUAACAACUAGCAGACGAGGAAAACAACUGCCGAAAUGUCACUUCCAUCGCAGUAAAUGCCAAGCCAAUGUUUGCCCUAGGCCUACGAAGGCCACCUCUGCUGAGCACGCUAAUGUGAUCGUGUGGACUUUGCUCGGAGGCAGGUUCCUGAGAUGACAUUGCAUCACUAAGUGCUAAUAUGUCGGUUUUUGUAGUGCAUGGUUGCAAACGGAAGGCUCGCUUGCGCAAGCUAUGGACAACACUGCCAGCAAUGUAUUGCACAAUUUCCUGAUCUGAUUUAGAAAUUGUAAUGUCAGUUUUCUUCGAUUGGGGACGUUGUUUUGCAUUUUGUUUUAAAAUCGCCUGAAAAACACGAAGAGCGAUCCAUGAAGCGGUCUGAGGACAGCCAAUUGUCUCUGUUAGGCUUUUGUGCCUAAGUACAAGUUCUGCAUGGAAAGCUUGCAUGGACUUCUCUCGCAUAGCUGAUGCAAAGAUGCUCUGCUUAGCCAUGCAACUGUCAAUAAACCUCAGUCCCUCUGUGAGCUUUGAAAGAGCUGGAAUAUAAGAAUGUUUGUAUAUAUGUAUAGAGAAUACUAUUAUGGUUAUGGUACUAGAUUAUUCCAACUUAUGGAAUGUAUGAGGAAUAUGUUGAAAUUUUAACAGCUUGUACAUAAUCGAACAUGUUUAACCGAUUACUCUGAAACUUUGUAGAGAUGUGCUUACACCAUGUUUAGCUAUUGGGACUUAACUGUUUGCAUUAUCAAGGCUUUUGAUCAGAGCUCGCAUUUCUUCAGGGAGUCCAUUGUCUUUCAUCAUGUUGCGCAAGACAUUGCUUACAUGAAGACCACUCAGCUAAAUAUAUAAAGUAUGGAGAAAGUGUAAAUAUGUAGAAGUUUCACCUAGAUGUAAAUAUAGACGUACUUGUGACAAUAAUUAAGACGUAAUUGACAAAUAUGUGUUUUAAUGCAGUUCCUGUUACAGUGUUUACAGCGUAUUACUUGCAACUACAGUAAACUCUCGUUAAGCCGCAGUAUUCGACAUGUCGUAAUUUGAUCCAAGUCGGAAUAAAUGGCUCUAUGUCACGUGCCGAUGGAAACGGCUGUGAUUGGCUAUUGUGAAGUGAUGCGCGACACUGUUGCUGAUUUUAGAAGCGUUUCUGAAUAGUUUUGUCAUUACGGUUGUUGCCGGACGUUGUCGCGUGUAUGUGCAACAGCUUGCAGGAAACAAUAUAGUUUAUAAUUUUAUGAAAUGUCGUUAAACGUUACGGUUGUAAGUGUUAUUGUUUCUUUAGUCAUAACAUUAUUGUUAUGUAGUAGGAAUUUUGUAAAAAUU